AAGACAAUAAUCAUUUUCACUGAAGCAGUUAGUUACAUGGAGCUGAUGAGUUGUUAUGGAUGCUUUUCAGACACUCUGGGACAGAAUUUUACGGUGGAAGUAUGCACUGUAAUGAUUCAGGACUUGACUGGCGAUAUUUUGGGUAUCUUAACCUCCUCCUUAAAUAGGCUACCAAAAAUUUGAAACCAAAAGGGCUGAGAAUCACUGCUUUAAAAAGUGAGUUAUGAUUGGAGGGAAUAGGGUCCAUCCUCUAAUAAACAGUAAAGAAAUCAGAAGUCCUGGCUGGACGCAGCGGCUCACACCUAUAAUCCCAGCACUUUGUAAGGCCCAGGUGGAUGGAUGGCUUGAGCCCAGGAGUUCGAGACUAGAUUCGGCAACCUGGCAAAACCCUGUCUCUACACAAAAUACAAAAAUUAACCAGGUUGGGUGGCGCACCUGUGGUCCCAGCUACUUGGAGGCCGAAAUGAGAGGAUCACUUGAGCUCCAGAGGUCAAGGCUGCAGUGAGCCAAGAUGGCGCCAGUGCACUCCAGCAUGGGCUGCAGAAAGAGACGCUGUCUCAAAAUAAUUAAAUAAAUAAAUAAAAUAAAUAAAUAAGUCCUGUUGUCAAGAAGUCAGUAGACAAUUUUUCCUAACACAAUGAUCUUAAGGACUUUAUUUUUCCCAUUUUUAUUUCAUUUUAUUUACACCAAAUUUCUUACUGGGUUUUCAAUGCAGCUUAAUGCAAUAUGCAAUGAUUUUAUGUUUUUAUCCACUGAGAUUUGUGGAUGGUUUGUUACCAGAGUAUUGCCUACCCUAUCUCAAAAAAAUAAAUAAAUAGCUAUAUAAGAGUUUAUAUAAGCAAUUUACUUAUUGCUUAUAUAAGAACACUUAUAAAAGCAUUGAGGCUGGAGUGCAGUGGCAUGACCAUGGCUCACUGCAGCCUCGACCUCUCAGGCUCAAGCGACCCUCCCACCUCAGCCUCCUGUGUAGCUGGGACUACAGCUUACCAUGCCAAGCUAAUUUUUAAAUUUUCUGUAGCGACAGGUUUCACUAUGUUAUCAGGGCUGGUCUCAAAUCCCUGGGGUCAAGUGAUCCUCCUGUCUUGGCCUCCCAAAGUACUGGGAUUACAGGCAUGAACCACCGCACCUGGUUUGAUCUUAAACACAACUUUUCUUGAAAAAAAGUUACCAUGACAAGUGCUAAUUUUUUUCUCCUACUAUUUGUUUUGAAAAAUUUUAAACUUACAGGUUAAAAUAAUAGUACAAUAAAUAUCUAUAUAUCUUUUUACUUAGAGUCACCAUUUGUUUACAUUUUUCCAUAUUUUCCUCUAUUUUAGUCUGUCUACAAACAUAUACAUAAACAUACUAAAUGUAUAUGUAUACACGUAUGUGUGUAUAUACAUUCAUAUACUCACACAUACACAUCAAUAUUACUUUUCUUUUGUGAGGCUAUUAGAGAAUAAAUUUAGACACAGCAUUUUUGUCCUAAAUACUUCAGUAUGUAUCUUAUAAGUACAUGGAUAUUCUUCCACAUAAGCGUGACAUAAUUAUCACACUCAAAAUUUAACAACAAUAAAAUUAAAUAUUUAAUGUACAGCUCAUUUAAAAAUUGUCCUUGUGGUCCAAGUAAUAACCUUCAUAGCCACCUGCCCUUCCCCCAUCCUUAAUCCAAUCAUGAAUGAAGCCUUCUGUUUAGUUACAGCCGAGACUGCUGUGGGAACCUAGAUCUGCUUCUUUCAUAGGGAAUAACCUCAGGCAGCCAGGACCUGCUCUGCCUGUGGGGCUCACAGAUUGCAUGAAGUGCAAGGAUGAGCUGAAAGUGUGGCUCUGAAGCAGCAACUGAUGGGACAACUCUGAGGUCAUCUACUUACCCUCGAGGGACUGAGGCAGCUCUCUCUGUGAGAUUGCUGAUAUGCAACUGGGCUUGGCCUCUUUAUUCUUCUUGGACCGACUUGACUUCUCACUUUCCUGUUUCUCCUGGGAACACUCGUAAGGAAUGGCUCAGUGAAUUUCCUUCUCAAGGUCGGCUUUGGGGAUAUAUAUUUACAUAUAUGUAUACAUGUAACAAAACAAAGACCAUUCCUUUUACAGAUUAUUCUCAAUUUGGAUUUUUCUGAUUGUUUCAUCAUGAUUAGAUUUAGACAAAAUAUUGUUGACAAGAAUACUACAUACUACAUAAGUGAUGUGUCUUCCUAAUACAGGUUUUUGAAAUUUUAAAUUCUGAUAACUGCUUUUCUUCCAAGAAAUGCCAUUAUCUUUUGGCCAGCACUCAAAUGAAAUACAGACAUUCUUUUAAAAUCGAAUGUAUUCUAUUUUAUUAUGUUUUGCAUUUCCCCUCUUGAGUUUCUCCUAGUUUACUAACCUCUCUACAGAGUAAUAAAACUAUAUUAUAUUUUUAUUCAUAAGAAAAAGAAAAAAAACCUCAUGCAACUGAAAUUGCCUUAAAUUAUUCAUCUCUCACACUAUUCUUACUUUGAUGUUUAAUAUUAUUAUUUUAUCUGCUUAAUCCCAUAACAUAUAUUCUGACAUAAAUCUGCAAAUUGUUGAAAACAAUUUACUUAACAUUUCAACUACUUAAAAUUUUAUUUUAUUUCAGACACCUAGAAAAAUAGUUCUAAAUUCUACAAAACCAAGAAAAAAAAAAAAGGGGGGGAUUUUUCUUGGACUCUGUUCGAAGUUUCAAGCCUACCAUCAGAUCUGUCCCAGACAUAACUUCUCAGAAAGCUCUAAUGGGAUUUUGCCCUGUAUAGUUUCACUGAAACAAAAAAGUGACAGCUGCUUCCCCUUCCUUCCCUUCCUCUUCCCUCUCCCCCACCCUCCUCCUCCUUCUCCUCUUCCUUCUUCUUCUUCCUUCUUGCACAUGUCUGAUCUCUUUUUCCUGGCCUCUAAUUUAGCAGCCAGUGAUUGGGUGAUGAAUGACUAAUCUGAGGGUCGGAGCUUCUUUCCUGAAGCUUCCUGAAAAAAAUCCCCCAGUAAUUAUAGGUUGCAAAAAACCUCUUCUACUUAUUUAGCCAUUUGCUCUUUUAGGUUCUUUUCAUUUAUUUCAAAUUAAAUGAUACUUUCUUUUCUCCCAAAAUUCAAACUGGAGUUUCUUUGACUUCCUUCAGGUGCUGCUACAUUAAUUCAAUGCAUGUUGCAUUUUUAAUGAAUAAUUUUAGGUAGUGAAUUUCAAGUUCUGUAUCAAUUUCAUUAAUUCUACUUAAGUUGGGUUCCCACCGUAAUGAACUUUUAAACAUGUGUAUUAUUGUUUGGCCAAAAGCACCAAAUGGGUGUUCAGCUUACAUUCUAAUGACUUCCCUUCCUUCCUUCCUCGCUCCCUCUCUCCCUCUUUUCCUUCCUUCUUUCCUUCCUUCCUCCUUUCCAGCAUCAGCUUUAGCAAGGAGCCCUAGCAGAAGACACCAGAAGGUUUCCAGCUGACUUGUCUCUUUUGUUCCUAAACCACUACUAACAGCAAUAUUAGUCAUCACUUCCCCCACUGCCCACUGUGCUAUUUAAAUCUCCCUCUUUGGGUAUAUUUUUUCCUAAGUUUCCUUUUUCACUCCAUAGUCAGGGAUGUGGGGGAAACACUCCAGGCAACACCUCCCACACACGGCCACAUAAAUAUUUAUUAGCUUUUUAUUUGUAUCAAUCUGUUCUGUACAACCUGUACAGCUUUUCAUUGCUGACAUCCUUUUUAUUAUUUCAAAUAAUAGUUUAGUAUGAGAGUUAAAAGAAACAUAUCUUUGUUCUUGUUCUGAAUCAUAGAAAAUUUAAACCGUCACAGGCCAGUGAGAAUGUAUGAUUCCCUUUUGAAACAUUUAAGAGGCAUAAUUUUGACAGUCUUUGUUUAACAAAGACUUUGCUUUGUUUUGACAGUCUUUGCUCAGUAACUCUUAUAUGACUGGAAAUUUUCUAAAGCUACCUUAGAUCAGUUGAUAGGCUAUGUUUUCUCUUUCAAUCUGUAUGAAUUCAAUAAAUGUUUUAAUGAGAGUUUUCUAAGCACCAGAUGCUGUAUCAGGUACUAGGGAUGACUAUGAAAUGACUCAGCUCCCAAGAACUUUAUAAUAGGGCUUAAGCAGUGUCAUAACUAAUACAAUCCUAAUAAAAGCAUGCUGUGUGUUCAGACCUAAAAGCUUGCUGUGUGUGUGCAUUUAGGUAAACAGUUUCAUCUCUCUGGACCCUAGCUCCUCUCUGUAAAAUGAAGGAGUUGAAUUCAAUGAUAUAUUCUAUUAUAUAACACCAUAAAAACACUUUACCAUAUGGUGUGCUGGUCCUGGACCUGUUUGCACUCAGAUCCAUCCUUCUGCUCUGCCUUGUUCUGGGGUGAAGAAGUUGAUCCUCGGCAGGGUGACUUUUUCAGGCUCUAGAGAAUUUCUGAAAGGACUGAGUCAACGGGCAGCAGGAAUAUAUCAACCAUGGAAAAUUAGAGAGCAGGCCCAAGAAUGAUAAAGACUUCCUGCUAUCGUCAAUCUCCCAGGAUUAUUUUAGAGCCCUCUGUUUAAUUCUCAGCCUCUCCACUCUUCAUGGACCCACCACUGCUUUCCAUUCCUUCUGCUGUGAACAUUUGAGAUGAUUUCUGCUUUCUUGGUUAAUCUAUGGCUAACCACAGUGUUCACCUCUACUUUAUUUUAUAAUUGAGGAAGGAAAAUAUGAGCAUAGAUACAUUAAAGGAGCAGACCCAAACUAGCUCCUUGUAUCCAAACAAAAUGAAAGAAGGUUGUAUCCAAACCUUCUUUUGAUGCUGGUAUCUAUUUUUUGGUGCUUAGAUACCAGCAUCAAAGGAAGGUUUGUUUUAUGCUUAUUCUCAUGGCCCAAUAAUGAGAUGCAGAUGAACUGGAUAGAAGGGAGUUUAUUUAUAUAACUAGGUACAGAGAGAAGGCUGGGAAAUAUUGCCAGACCAACUCAAAAUUAUAAAGUUUUCCAGAGCUUAUACACCUUCUAAGCUAUAUGUCUAUGUGUAAGUAUGUAAGUGUGCAUUCAUCUAAAGACAUAAGUAAUAAACUUUUUUUUUUUUUUUCUUG
rnacentral:lncRNA from 1 species